ensembl:lncRNA novel transcript
CAAGGACCAGGAGCGGGAGCCGAGCCUCGCGGCCCGGGGCACGGCGCCGCCUGCCCCUCCCCGGCAGUGCCUCCCGACCCCCUGCCCUCCGCUGGGACAUGGCCUGAGGCCCCGCCCGCCGCCCGGGACCCCUCCCCCACGCUGCCCCCGGACCCUCGCCCCAGGACCGCGGGGUCUCUUCCCGGCCCCGCCGCCCGCCCCGGCGAGAACAGGCCCGGCGGGCAAGGCGGCGGCGGACCGAGGGAGGCCUGGCCCGGCAGCGGGGAGAAGGGUGCGGCGCAGCCCGAGUUUCCCACCUUUUAUCCUGGCCCAGACGCGGCUGGGGCGGACGGGACCUCUCGCGCUCUGCCUCCUCCUCUUGCUUCAUGGAGCCAUGCGCCUGGGUGGGGGCUCCCGAGAGAAGCUGGCCUGCGGGCGGGCCGGACGCGCUGCGCGGACGGGACGGGGCGAAGGAGGCCGGCAGGCGGAGGAGGAAGCGGCGGGGCGGCGGCGGCGGCGGCGGCCGGGAAGAACUAGAGGUAUUCCCCGGGCGGCUGGAGGACUGAGUCGAGCCGGGACCCGAGUCCUCCGGUAUCCCAGCAGCCACCGGAGGCAGUGAGGUAAUGGAGGAAGAAUGUAGGGAGUCCUCCGGUGGACCACACUCCUUCUAGCGAGCCGCGGAAACCAUAGAGAUCAGGGCUCAGCCGGAGGGCCGGCCCACUGCUGUCACGUGGCCUCCAUCCGUGCGCUUUAUUGGCUGGUGCUGGCUUUACGGGGUUGAAUUUUGGACGCUGCCUGCCAUUCGUGGGACCGAGUUUCAGGCAGCUGGAAUAAAGAGAGAUAUCGGGGGAAAGCCGCGAGAAGGCCAGCGUCCCUCGCUGGGAGCAGAGCUAGCCGAGUAGGGCGCCCGGCUGUCAAACUGGCCGGCGCAGUGCACGCUGGGCCGCCCCGGAGCGAUCGCAGAGCCCGUCGGGAGUCGUAGUCCCGGACGGGCCCGCGGCAUCGUCCGCGACGCAGCUCGGGAUCCGGGUCGGGGUGUCGGCCGGGUUGCUGCCGGGCACCGUCGAGCGUUAGCCACCCAGCAUUGAGCUGCCAGCGGCUGUUCUCCCUAAGCACCCUCGCUCACGUCGCCUCGCCUCGCCUGACCGGCCGCAGCCUUGGAUACCAGCCUUAAAUCGAGCCGACUACGGCCCAGCCCCGCCCGCGGCGAGGUGCGCGGGGUUCGGUGCGAGCCCCUCGCCCCUGGCCGGGCCAGCCUCUUGAUGCACCGGGGACGGGCGCGCCCAUCCGACUCUUCGAGGGGCGGCAGGGCCCCAUCUGUGUCUUUCGCUCUCGAGCCCCCAGCUAGAGUUGGCUUCAGCGGAAUACCUACUGUGCGGGAUUAUUCAACAAGCCGAUUGAUCACAUUCUUCAGCUCUAGCAGUGCAAAGGCUUCACUGAAAAAGAACAUUACAACUUUUUUGAAAGAAAUUUGGGGGUAAAUUUAAUUUUAAAUACUGAUUUUUGAUAACAUUUGAUCUUAUGACAGCAUUUGUAUUUUUAAUUACAGAUAGGAUUACACUAAAAGUCAUUUCUGACCUGCUCCCUUACCCUUAUGGCUAAAAUAAACUGCUAGGCCCUGAAGCAAAGGCGAGCCAUGUUCUAGAGCAAUGUCUUUCUUGUAUUAAAAUACAGCCCCAUGCUCACAAAAAAAAAAAAAAAAAAUUUUGGAGUGUAAACAUA